rnacentral:rRNA from 1 species
UACGUAGGGGGCUAGCGUUGUCCGGAUUUAUUGGGCGUAAAGAGCGUGUAGGCGGCCAGAUAGGUCUGCUGUGAAAACUCGAGGCUCAACCUCGAGACGUCGGCGGAAACCAUCUGGCUAGAGUCCGGAAGAGGAGAGUGGAAUUCCUGGUGUAGCGGUGAAAUGCGCAGAUAUCAGGAGGAACACCAGUGGCGAAGGCGGUGCUCUGGGCCGGAACUGACGCUGAGGAGCGAAAGCGUGGGGAGCAAACAGG